UACGUAGGGUGCAAGCGUUGUCCGGAAUUAUUGGGCGUAAAGAGCUCGUAGGCGGUUUGUCGCGUCUGCUGUGAAAACCCAGGGCUUAACCCUGGGCCUGCAGUGGGUACGGGCAAACUAGAGUGCGGUAGGGGAGAUCGGAAUUCCUGGUGUAGCGGUGAAAUGCGCAGAUAUCAGGAGGAACACCGGUGGCGAAGGCGGAUCUCUGGGCCGAUACUGACGCUGAGGAGCGAAAGCGUGGGGAGCGAACAGG
rnacentral:rRNA from 1 species